GAAAAAAACCCGAGAAUGGCUAUUGGGGGGCAAAAGGCUAGUGAGCGCUUCAGAGGUUGUGUAUCUUACCGAGAGAUGCACAACAUCAAAACUCUGAAAAGCACGUGUGGCAUGCACGACGCAUAAAACACUUUCCUAGCAAGUCCUACUUCUACCUCCGCGUGGUGCUCCCUGGGUAACGCUAACAGAAGAGGGCAAAGGGCGAGUUGCCGGCGCCCUAAAACUGGCACUCCUCGGCUAAGGUAUGGGAACCCCUACAGAAGAGUCCCCGGUCCUCCAGGUUGGGGGUUAUACGAGAAGCUGAUAUGGUCUGACAAUUUUUUUUGGAUAUCAUUGAUAAUUUAAAAUUAAUUCUGUAUUAAGUUUUUUUCCAAGUAUAAAUUGUGUCUAAAACUUACAAUAUAAAAAGCAUUAUUUUAUUUAGCAUUUGAUUUUGGAGAAAUGAGUCAUAAGUUUAUAUGUAAUCAAAUACUUAAUCAAGUAUUGAUCAUCAAGAUGAUGAAGCCCGAUAAAGGGUUUAGCUAAUUCCUAAUUUUAAACGGUUUAUACCGCAGUUAAUUCUAAUUCACAGGGAUUUUUUGUAUCACAGUCUAUUGGAAAAAGCUAUAAAUGGCCGGAUGACAAGGAGUUACGUUCGGGAAUAUACACCGAGAGUUUCAAAGCUAACUCUUAAAUAAUUUUUACAACUAUUACUACUUGGUGUGUAUUCUCAAAUGCAACAACGGCAGGAAAGACAAGGUGGUUUAAGGAAACAUCUUCCUCACGGGAAUCAUGAACCGGACUAUCCGGAUAUCCCCAAUCAUGAUGGGUGUUUACUCCCAUCAUGAUCCCACAGGGAUCCGAAAGCCUAGUUCGUGCUUCUGGUUUAUAUAUGAACUACACCAAACACAAGUGCUUGCGAGAAACGAAGACACCUUUGUAUCAUUAUAAUUUCAUUUCUCCGAAAUCAUUAAAGUUAAAUUUAAUAAAAAAACUUUAAUUAUAAAAUUAAAACUAUGCAAUUUGUAAUAUUUUUCAUUUCUUUUAACUUAAAUAAAGCUGUUAACUUAAAUAUUCAACAAAGUAAUAACCAUCUCUUGGUCAAUAACCGAACUAAAAGCGUGCGACACGUGCUGUGUGCAUGUAGAACCUAUCGUUUGUUUUCUGUUCCUGAACUCUCUGAAUUAGUUGUACAUACACUUAAAAUGAAAUAGGUAGAUGUUUGAAAGUUAGCGAAAGCAAGAAGGAACGUUCCAUUGCAAUCUAGUGCAGGCAUAGAAAACAAGCCUAUAAUCUCCGUUCCUUCGUUCCAAACGUUGACCAACGUUGACUACACGUGUCUCAAGAGACACAAAUAAAAAAUAAAAAAAUUUGUUCCAAGCAUAUAUUUAAAAUUCCUAUAGAAAAGAGAUAAUGUUAACGUCAGAGUGCAGACGACAUCGGACUUGUAUCACUUUGUAUCGGACGACAACACUUUGUAUCGGUUUUCAUAAUUUUCUGUAAUUAGAGGACUCAAUGAUGACUGUAAAUAAAUUCCACACGGAGAAAGAUAGUUAAAUACUACUAAUUUAUCUAUAAUAUAUGUUAAGUUAGUAUGUUACUGUUUGUAUGCAAAUUGUGCAACGUCAAUUUGCAUCAUGAUAUUUAUUGAAUAUGUCCAAUCUUUAUCUGAUAAUCCUUACUUUGGUACUGGCUUUGGUCUAUUUGGCAUUGGAGCUACCCUGUUGAAGAAAGGCAUUCAGAUUGGAACUGUAUUAUUCAGGUGACAUUAUAUGAUCACUUUGGAGGUGCCAUGUUGUGAUAAGAGAAAGAGCAUGCAAGAGAUGCCUCUCUGUGGAGACUAGUUUUGAGCAGAGGGACACUGGUCACGUAACAACCAAAUACAAUUUUAUUCUCAGCAUAGGAGUUCAUUUUUUCAGAUAUAAGGAAAAUUGGAUAAAGAUAGAAGGAACUGGGGAGCAACAGACUUUAGAUCUGCACAUGGGCAUACCAUGGGAAACUAUACAGUUGACAGCGUUUGACAAAGACAGAAGCAUAUACUUCAAUAUUCUCGAAGAAGUUGAGUUCGUACAAAUAUUUACAGAAUCGCAUUACACAAUAUUGGGAAAUCAGCAGCAAUACUCUUAAUUCGUAUAACCGGACAAAUGGCUCUGAACAAACACGAGGGCAAGACUAUUGGCUAUACAAUUGGCGAGUUAAUUCGUAGCGACCGUUUUGUUUUGCAUGCAAUGCAAUUGCCGAAUAAAAAGAGCGUCUUUUAGGCGCGAGUCGUCUAGACAACUCUAGUCCAGAUCUACCCCACUUUACUCGAUACACCAUAAUUCGGGUCUAUUAGGCCCAAUAAAGUGUAUCAGAGAGAAGGAAUGCACGCCCCGAGCUAAUGAUAAAUGCUGUGUCCGUUGGGCCGUUCGCGCGCGAGUGUAUACGGGGUGCGGGUGGACACCUUAAUUUAGAUUGAACGUAGUUAUCGAGACUAUCAUCGCUAUAAGUGUAUCGUGCAUUAGAGAGCAGGCCCUUGAAAAAUUUGUUAUUGAGCUUUAAUCUUUUGGUAAAAAAAAUCUAUGUCAUCAAAAAUAUAAGUAUAAAUACACACA
rnacentral:lncRNA from 13 species